rnacentral:lncRNA from 1 species
UACUUUUAUACCUGCCGCAUGCAGUAUCCCUUUCAUUGGCACUGGUAUUAGUCCUUAGGUUGUGUGGAUCUAGAGUUGUGAGUUGAAUGGAUUGGGAUGAUAUUGAUUCAACUGAAAUCAGACUGGUGUUUCCUUUCCACUUUUAUUGGGAUAAUAGGUCGAUGUUGUAAAGGACAUACGGAACGAUACUACGUGUUUAAGUAAAAAUUUUCUUCAGGUUACUGAUUUUUUUUACUGGUCUUGCAACAUGCACUUGUGCUAAAAUUCUUUGUAAAGAUGACUGGUUAGAAGCUGCUCUCAUGAUACAAAUUUUAAGAUUAGAUUUAAGGAAGCUGCUUGCGACAACUGAUGAACAAUCUUUUAU